AUGGUAGAAAUUGACACCUCUAAACUUUUCAAUCACUUUCAAACCUUCACCCUCACUUGAAGCCAUGUCUUAGAAGAGGUCUAUCAAAAAAUAUCAAAAAAAAGAAUCUCUAUGUACUAAAAAUCACUAAAAUAAUUUUGUACUAGCAAAAUCUCAAAAUGCCUUCUUGUAAACAAAUGAAUAUUUCUUCACUCCAAACACUUCCAAAUCAACUUUUGAAGCUUCUAACAAGUAUGUGAACUCUAAUCAACCUCACCACCUAGCUCUUCCUUUCAUAAAAUUCACUUUCUCACCACAAAAUCAAAGACACUAUCAAGGUCUUUGUAAAAGAUCUUAAUUAUUAAAUCCUAGGAGUUAAGAACCUUCAAACUGAUUUAAGAGAUCUAUAAGGCCCAAAUCAAAACCUCCACAAGUCAAAACACCAGAUUAGAUCAUACAAUCUCUAACAUCAGUAAAUACCAUAAGAUCUAUUCCACACAAAAACAACAACCAGGAAAUGACUUCAACUUACUUGAAUAGCACAACAAAGUAUGUGUGGGCCCAUAACCUAUUGAAGAAACACAAUAAGCAAGACACAAAUAAGUAGAAAUCAACAAGGUUAGACACAAGAGAAGUGUAGAAUGAGAUACCUCUCACUUCCAAUACCCUUUACUUAUAGGUAGAG
rnacentral:lncRNA from 1 species